CACGGAGGGUGCAAACGUUGCUCGGAAUCAUUGGGCGUAAAGCGCACGUAGGCGGCCUGAUAAGUCGGGUGUGAAAGCCCUGGGCUCAACCCAGGAAGUGCACUCGAAACUGUCAGGCUUGAAUAUGGAAGAGGGUCGCGGAAUUCCCGGUGUAGAGGUGAAAUUCGUAGAUAUCGGGAGGAACACCAGUGGCGAAGGCGGCGACCUGGGCCAAUAUUGACGCUGAGGUGCGAAAGCGUGGGGAGCAAACAGG
rnacentral:rRNA from 1 species